GAUGAACGCUGGCGGCGUGCUUAACACAUGCAAGUCGAACGGUGAAGGCGGAGCUUGCUCUGCUGGAUCAGUGGCGAACGGGUGAGUAACACGUGAGCAAUCUGCCCCUGACUCUGGGAUAAGCGCUGGAAACGGCGUCUAAUACUGGAUACGAGCUGCGAAGGCAUCUUCAGCAGCUGGAAAGAAUUUCGGUCAGGGAUGAGCUCGCGGCCUAUCAGCUUGUUGGUGAGGUAAUGGCUCACCAAGGCGUCGACGGGUAGCCGGCCUGAGAGGGUGACCGGCCACACUGGGACUGAGACACGGCCCAGACUCCUACGGGAGGCAGCAGUGGGGAAUAUUGCACAAUGGGCGGAAGCCUGAUGCAGCAACGCCGCGUGAGGGACGACGGCCUUCGGGUUGUAAACCUCUUUUAGCAGGGAAGAAGCGAAAGUGACGGUACCCGCAGAAAAAGCGCCGGCUAACUACGUG
rnacentral:rRNA from 1 species